rnacentral:rRNA from 1 species
GGUCUCCGUAGGUGAACCUGCGGAGGGAUCAUUACAAGAACGCCCGGGCUACGGCCUGGUUAUUCAUAACCCUUUGUUGUCCGACUCUGUUGCCUCCGGGGCGACCCUGCCUUCGGGCGGGGGCUCCGGGUGGACACUUCAAACUCUUGCGUAACUUUGCAGUCUGAGUAAACUUAAUUAAUAAAUUAAAACUUUUAACAACGGAUCUCUUGGUUCUGGCAUCGAUGAAGAACGCAGCGAAAUGCGAUAAGUAAUGUGAAUUGCAGAAUUCAGUGAAUCAUCGAAUCUUUGGACGCACAUUGCGCCCCCUGGUAUUCCGGGGGGCAUGCCUGUUCGAGCGUCAUUUCACCACUCAAGCCUCGCUUGGUAUUGGGCAACGCGGUCCGCCGCGUGCCUCAAAUCGUCCGGCUGGGUCUUCUGUCCGCUAAGCGUUGUGGAAACUAUUCGCUAAAGGGUGUUCGGGAGGCUACGCCGUAAAACAACCCCAUUUCUAAGGUUGACCUCGGAUCAGGUAGGGAUACCCGCUGAACUUAAGC